AAGAGAUGAAAUCGAAUCAAGAAGAGAGAGAGAAAAACAAACAAAAAAUGUUUUGCGUGCAUAUCUAGAAGAUAAUGAAGUGACAUGUCCUUGCUAUCUCGAUCUCUCUGUCUCUGCACAAAAAAAAGAAAGAAAUAAAGAAAAGCCACGCGUGUCGGCGCGGGUUUCCACCAAGAAAUUCAGGGAAACGAGAUCAAAUCAAAUCAAACAAAUUAAAAGAUGGCUCCUCUCCGGAGAUGAGAGAUCGACGCGAGAUCGGGGCGGGGGAUGCGGGAGGGAGUGAUGAGAGAUGCUGACAGAAAGAGGAGCGAGCACGCGGCGGGGGCAGGCAUCCCGCCGAUGGCUAGCCGCCGCGCCGUGUGCUCACUCUCUUCUGUCAACAAUCUCGCCUUUCAUAUGCUCGAUCCCGCCCCGCCCCAAGAUCGAUCAACAAACCUGCACUGCACCCACGUAGUAGUAAACAAGAAGCAUCACGCAGGGGAAAAAAGAAGAAAAAAGAUCGGUUCUUUGCUUCUCGGAUCCGGUGAGAGAGAGAGACCGAUCGACGACGGUGGCCGUACUGGAGCUAGGCAGCAGCUGCAGGGAGAUAGAGAGAGAGGGUACAGGAUUAUUACAGGAGAAAAAAAGGAGGAGUUCUUGGUGUUUGGGGUGCACUGAAUGUGAAUGUUGGUGUGGGGUGCUGUGCCUAAUAUAAGCUCACCUCUUAAACUCGAUCUCUCGAUCAGGUUCGGCUCACCGGGCUCCACUGACACUCAAGCUAGAGAGG
rnacentral:precursor_RNA from 1 species